UACGGAGGGACUAGCGUUGUUCGGAAUUACUGGGCGUAAAGCGCACGUAGGCGGAUUUGUAAGUCAGGGUGAAAUCCCGGGGCUCAACCUCGGAACUGCCUUUGAUACUGCAAAUCUCGAGUCCGGAAGAGGUGAGUGGAAUUCCUAGUGUAGAGGUGAAAAUUCGUAGAUAUUAGGAAGAACACCAGUGGCGAAGGCGGCUCACUGGUCCGGUACUGACGCUGAGGUGCGAAAAGCGUGGGGAGCAAACAGG
rnacentral:rRNA from 1 species